AUCUCAUUGCAUGAGCGUUGCUGGGUGAGUGUGUGUGUGUGCGCGCGCGUGUUUGAAUGUUUGUGUUGUUUGAAUGAAUCUGUGGAUGAGUGUGUGUUUGUUUAGUUAGCAGCUCAUUAAAAAAAAUCUACACCAUGAUCUUAUUUGAUCUGAUCCGCGUUUUUGCCCUGCACGGAUUCAGAAAUGAUAAGAAGAGACACGUUAGCCCGUUGUGGCGAUGCGCGUUUGGGCUAUUUCUAGCCGGAUAGCAGCUUCAGGGCACUGCAGUGGAGACUGUGGUUAGAAAUGAUGAUUCGAUCAGAUAUACUAAUGCCGGUGGGAUUUUUGGAGGUUUUCCUCCAGUUUUUCCUGUCUGGUCUGUGAGUAUAGAGGCGAUUCUGAUCUUC